AGAGACUCUGGGGACACGCCCCGCUCCCUUCCUUCCCUCCUUUACGGCUCGGCUGAGCCGCGCCUGCCUCCUGGGGCCUCUGACUUUCUCCUGCGGGAGGUUUGCUGAGCUUCUUUAAUGUGCGACGUUUCCAGCAAACCCGGGCGUGUUUCCCAUCAUCUCGUUCAGUGUUCUUCCCGGUCCCCUUCCUCCCUCCCCUCUGGGGCUUCACUGAGUGGCCUGUUCGUGCUCCAUCCUGCUUUGUGCUCAGAGGAGAGGAGAUGGUCUGCAACUCAGCCUCAAGUUCCUGACUCUUCUGUGAACGCAAGUCUGUCGCUGAACUUCAGUGACAUUUACAUUUCAAAACCUGGCAUCCAAGCCUGGUCCAGAUGAUUAUUUUGAGACGUUAGCCUGCCAUCUUCUAGGUCAGCCAGCUCUCUGAAUAAAGUUGAUGAAGUCGUAUUCCUGGCCUCAACGCGUCAUCAUCUCCCGGAUUUACUGGCCUAUCCAGUGGUGAGCAGAGUGAGCCCGGACUCAGUCACACUGCCUCUAGUGGUUUCCCUUUUGUUCAAAUCAGACCCUCUUCACAACUCCUCAGCGCUCUGGUUUUAAAGACUUGUUUUUUUCUAUUCAUGAUUAUCUUUCAGAAGAGCUGUUUUCAAAACUCAGAGUCAGAGAGGCAGAGAAAAGUCAAAUUAAGAUGGAAACUAAGGAGUAAUAUCAGUGAUCUGAUAUAGUUUUGAAAACAAAAGAAUUCACAAGUAACAAAUGCAAGUACUAUGCUGCACACACUUUUCAGAUCGCCUGGCUCCACACUGAGAAUCUGACUUUAAAAGACAGAGAAAGGAUAAAUCACAAGCGAGAUAACACAGUUUUAUUGAAUAAACACACGCACUGCCAUGUAAAAUUAGCUGAGGAAAAAGGGCAUUUUACAAUAAAAAACAAAACCAAAAAACCCUCUGCUGUGUUCUAUCUGCAGGGGGUGGUCCAGCUAGAAUGGCGUUAAAGCAACAACCAC